UACGGGGGGGGCAAGCGUUGUUCGGAAUUACUGGGCGUAAAGGGCUCGUAGGUGGCCAACUAAGUCGGACGUGAAAUCCCUCGGCUUAACCGGGGAACUGCGUCCGAUACUGGUUGGCUUGAAUUCGGGAGAGGGAUGCAGAAUUCCAGGUGGAGCGGUGAAAUGCGUAGAGAUCUGGAAGAACACCAAAGGCGAAGGCAGCAUUCUGGCUCGUAACUGACGCUCAUGUGCGAAAGCUAGGGGAGCGAACGGG
rnacentral:rRNA from 1 species